rnacentral:tRNA from 6 species
AAGGCCGGAAUAGCUCAGUUGGUAGAGCAGAG